rnacentral:rRNA from 1 species
ACGGUGAACACGGAGCUUGCUCUGUGGGAUCAGUGGCGAACGGGUGAGUAACACGUGAGCAACCUGCCCCUGACUCUGGGAUAAGCGCUGGAAACGGCGUCUAAUACUGGAUAUGUGACGUGACCGCAUGGUCUGCGUUUGGAAAGAUUUUUCGGUUGGGGAUGGGCUCGCGGCCUAUCAGCUUGUUGGUGAGGUAAUGGCUCACCAAGGCGUCGACGGGUAGCCGGCCUGAGAGGGUGACCGGCCACACUGGGACUGAGACACGGCCCAGACUCCUACGGGAGGCAGCAGUGGGGAAUAUUGCACAAUGGGCGGAAGCCUGAUGCAGCAACGCCGCGUGAGGGAUGACGGCCUUCGGGUUGUAAACCUCUUUUAGCAGGGAAGAAGCGAAAGUGACGGUACCUGCAGAAAAAGCGCCGGCUAACUACGUGCCAGCAGCCGCGGUAAUACGUAGGGCGCAAGCGUUAUCCGGAAUUAUUGGGCGUAAAGAGCUCGUAGGCGGUUUGUCGCGUCUGCUGUGAAAUCCCGAGGCUCAACCCCCGGCCUGCAGUGGGUACCGGCAGACUAGAGUGGGGUAGGGGAGAAUGGAAUUCCUGGUGUAGCGGUGGAAUGCGCAGAUAUCAGGAGGAACACCGAUGGCGAAAGCAGAUCUCUGGGCCGUAACUGACGCUGAAGAGCGAAAGGGUGGGGAGCAAACAGGCUUAGAUACCCUGGUAGUCCACCCC